CUGGGAUAUUUGACUCCUAACACAGGAUCCUUUCUACUCUACUGAGCUACACAUUUAUUCUGAUGGGCAAAGACACUUUAGCGAUGUUUGAUAUGGGCAAUGAUUCAACUCAUCACAUGACUCUGCUUUCGCCUUUAGGUAGAUUGAUAUACCUCAAAGUAAUUCGCAUCUACAAUUGUUAAACUGAGAUCUGAGUGAUGUUGGGACCAGGCUUUGUGAGUUGCCCUUCACUGGCAAGCUUCGCUUUAACACAGCAAAGUCUAUCCUGCCUGUACCUGAAUUGCCCUCUUGAAACAAGUAACCAGUGUCAUCUUUCUCUUGAACGGGCUGGCACUGCUGUGAUAUCAGUGAUCACGUGAUAUUCCAAAAGGCAACUGUGAUCUCUAGCUUCAAGGUGUUAGCAAUCCAUUUGGAGAAAAUGAAGUUUGUUGUUAAGCUCCUGGCAGUUUCUAGCAGAGCUAGAUUGAACAAUAGGGUCCUUAAAUCACCUGGAAUAUCCCUGAGUACUGCAUAAAUGUUACUCAAUAUUUAAACUGGAUAAGACGUCACAGAACCUCAGGUUUCACAAAAGCAGAGCUUCAAUUGUCAAAGGUAUUGGGAUCUUGGGAAUUAUUUAGAUAGGUUACCUUAUUUUGGAAAGGAAGAAUUUACCCACCAUUUCUGUGGGCAGGGGAAGUGGGGAAUGGGAGCUAGAGUUUCAUUAGUUAAUUUGCUUUAAGGAACUACAGAAGUAAACAGAUGCUUGGCAAGCACCAACCACAUAAGAGGCAACAUGCAUUUUCUAAAUGCAUGUGGAUGUUCCUCUGUAUAACUUCAGACUAUCCCAGCAUCAUUUCAUAAGCAAGUAUCCCAGCCCUCAGAAAUGUUGGGAGCCAAUAGGGAGGCAAUAAUAUGUAGCAGACUUUCCUUCCCUUUCUUGGCUCCACAUCCUAGUCCAGUGCCAUUAUCCACCAGCUUCUCUGGCCCACUUUUCACAUGGUCAUCACUGACUAUGGCAUAUAUAUCUAUAUCUACUCUAUCUAUCUAUCUAUCUAUCUAUCUAUCUUCUAUCUAUUGAUAUCUAUAUCUAUAUCCAGAACGUAGUUCUUUUCCCAGCCCCAGACAAGGUGGGGAAUAGCCUGACUCUCUCUCCUUCUACCUUCAAAUUGCAAGAUAUUGUUUUUGUAUGUCUCAUCUCUUUCAAGGCUGCCUCAGCAUUCAGCAUAACCUGAGCUGACUUGGGUAAGAGCAUGAGUUAGGAGAAGGCCCUCAGAGAAUUAUAAUCCUGAGUCCAGACCUUCCAGAGAGGAGCCAGGCUGCAGAGCUUCCUAAGGCAAAAAUCGUCUGAUAUAAUUUAAGAAGUAGAACUCUCACCAGCUUGGGGAGAAAGCAAAAAAUGCCAGUAAGCUGCUUCUCACUGAGCACAUAAAACAGUGGCACCCAAAAGCUUGUUUUCUGUUUAAUAAAUUAAAGAAAUCCAUCACGAAUGGAACCCAGGGCUGAGUGACCACAUCAUAGUUGACUCAGUGGGUGUGAUGAAUAAAUUGCCUGUUUUAUGAUUGAGACAUUCCCCAAAGUAACAUUAAAGUAAUGAAAAUUGUGAGGGAUUGUUCUUUCUAGAGAAAGAGGAUGCUACUGACCUACCAACAGCAGCCAAAAAUGUUUUCAACAGUGAGAAAGGAUUUACAAUGUUACAAAUGAGAACUAAUUGAAAGUGCUGACCCAUAGCUGUGAAGCAGAGCCCAUCCCACAGACGUUUGAGCUGCAUUAGUGGGCAUUCCCAACCAUCAUCCCUGCCACAGCAACUUCCAUUCUUUUACACUCAAAAAGGAGUAUGCAGGUUUGAUGAAACCUACAGAUGAUUAGUGCUUGACGCCUCCCCCCAUACACACAAAAGCAGCUGGCCUUCAAUAAACUUACAACUGUGUAAGCAAUAAAAUCAUAUAUUGAAAUAAUACAUACACGUGCAAUAUUGUAUUAAAACACACAGAAAGGGAAAUGACUAAUUCUUAAUUAAAUAUUUUCCAAAGAAAUCUCCAUAUUUCUAGAUUGCCAUUCUCUAGAUAAUAAGUUAAACAAAUAUGUAUUGUAACCCACACAGAGGUGAAAGGUAUUUUACUGGUAGCAUUUUAAUAUAGGAGGGCAGUGAACUUUUGUUUGGGGCUCUGAGGCAGUAGUUUGUAUCAGACUCAUCCUUUGAUGGAAGAACUAUAAAAACCAUUUUUUUUUUAAAGUAAAUUCUGUCUGAAUAUUACAGAAAAACAAAACAAAACAAAACCAUGCAGUCAAGAGUUGAGGAUUCUGGAUCCCAAAUCCUUGAGAAAUUUGCCAGGAUCCAGAGAAAGGGUGAUGCUUGGAUGUGAGCCCCACAAGCCCUUGGGGAAGAGUCUGACUUGGGGCACAGGGCAUGGAAACAAAACAGAAAACAGGAGCAUGGACUUUGCAGUGCUCUCACUACACUGCAGAGAUAAAAAUCAAACUUUUCAUUGAGGAAGCAAGAAAGUAUUUGGAAAUGAGUGACAUGUGUGCAGUGCAGAAAGAGUAGUGCUUAAGGGGGAAAUUUUAAAGCUUUAAAUGAAUUUACUAGAAGAGGGAGGGGAAAAAAAAAACCUAAAAAUCAGUGAUCUAAUAAGCAUCCAACUCAAAAAAUCUAGAAGAACAAAUUAAGCAUAUUAAAUAAAAAGGAUGAGAAGGAAAUAGCAAUUUUAAAAAAAGAGGUCAGUACUUAGUGAAAUAAAAACAAAUCCUCAACUGGAACAAUUUAAGGGCCAAAUGUUGGUUCUUUGAAAAUAUUAAUAUAAUUUCUAAAUCUCCAGAAAUACAGAUCUAAAAAAGUAAAGAGAAGGGAGAUGUUAGAAACAAAUUAUUAAUAUCAAGAAUAAAAAUAGGAAUUUUUAACCCACUGUGGCACAGCAGGAACUCCCAAAACUGAUUUAAAUAAAGAAGUAGAAAGUUCAAAUAAUGCUAUUACCUAUGAAAAGACUGAUUUUUAAACCUUCCCACAAAGAAAACUCUGGACACAGAUGCUUAAAAGAGAAUCAUUCUAAAUACUUUGUGAAGCAAAAAUUUCAAUCUUGCACAAACUUUUUAGAGUCUAGACAUAGGGAGAAUACUUCCCAAUUCAUGUUACGAGACCAUCACAAUCUUGACAAUGACACCAGAUAAAGACAUUAUAAAGAAAAAUUAUAAAUCAAUCUUUCCUGUGUACAGAGGUACAAACAUACUAAAUAAAAGAGUAGCACGGUGAACCCAACAUUAUGGAAAAGCAUCAUAUAUCCCCAUGAAAUUGGGUUUAAACCAAGAAUGUAAGGUCAAUUUAUUGCUCUGAAAUCAAUUACUGUAAUUCAUUACACCCAUCCAUUACACUUAAGAACAAAAGCAUGUAACCGUUUCAAUAAAUGCAAAAGAACAAGUAAAUAAAAACAUUAUGACCAUUCAUGACUGAAAUAAAACAAGGCAACAACAAAUUCCUCAUAGAAAAAUAGACAGAGGGAAUUUUUUUGUAUGAAAAGGAGUUUCUUCAAAGAAAAUGUAUAGCAAAAUCAUACGUGAAAUACUAGAAAAUUUCUUCCUGAGAUAAGAAUAUCUCAGGAGAUAAGGAUAGCCCCAUUGCCAUUUAACGGUGUCCUGGAAGUCCUUCCAAUGCCAUAAAGCAAGAAUAAGAAAUAAAAUAUACAUAGAUUGAAGAGGAGAUAUGAAAGUGUACAUAGAAAAUCCAAAAGAUAAACUAUUAGAAUCAGUAAGUGAAUUUAUCCAAGUCAGUGGAUAUAAAGUAAAUAUGCAAAAUAAACCAUACACAUAAAAUACCCAUAAAUAAUGAGAAAAUAAGAUUAACAUAAAUUUUAAGUAUCUAGUAUUAUACUAAUAGUUAUGUGCAAGAAGGAAACAUUUUGAAAAGAAAUUAAAGACGACCUAAAUCAAUAUAGCAUAUAUCGUGUCCAUGAAUCAGAUGACAAAAGCGUAGGAAAGCCAUUUGGCUCCAUAUUGAUUUAUAAAUUCUAUGCACUCCUAAUCAAAAUCUCAAGAGGUAUUUUUGUGAAGUUUGAAAAGUUGAUUUAAAUCAAUGUGGAAAUGUUAAAGACCAAGAGUAGCCAUGACACAGUCCUGGAAGAAGAAAGACAAAGUUGAUGGCCUUAUUACUGGUUAAAGGAUAGAUGAUAAAUAUAUUGAACAAAAUAUUCCAGAAACAUACGCGUAUAUCUACAAAUACUUCACUGACGACAAAGUGUCAUCACAAGUAGUGAAAAUGAUCAUUGCUUUUGCAUUUCUUCCCAAUAAAUGGUGCUGUGUGAAUUCGAUGUCCACACAGGGAAAGAAAAAAUGAGUCUUGAAUCUCACCUCACUAUCUUAUAUCAUACACAAAAAAUUAAUUCCAGAUGCAACAGAUUUCAAUAUAAAAAGUAAAUAAUAUAUUUUCUGGAAAAUAAUAUAAGAAGAUAUAGUCACGAGCUUAGGAUGGGCAAAGAUCUUUUAAAUAGGCUAUGAAAACACUAUUCAUAAGAAAAUGAUAGAUAAGCUAGACUUCAUUAAUUUCAGAACAGCUGGACCAUUGAUGCUCUCCCCUUUCAUGUUCUAAAAGAAUCUGGACUAUCCAACUUUUUAAAUUCAUAAUUAUUUAAAUUUUUCAAAAACCAACAUAUAGGUGAAUUAACUAUGUCUAAUUAACAGAAACUUUGUGCCCCCGCCAAAAAAAUCAAAACCUUGACCAUUUCAAGAACAUGGAAUUGCUCAAUAGAAAUGCAAGAGACAGUUAUUUGAUUAUAAUUCAGCAAAUCCUAUUUCAAGUAAUAUAGUAGGGAGCUAAGUCUAUUCUAUAGAAAGCAAUUUAAGACUCAAAAGUGCUUUAAAAGGGAAAAGUUAAUCAAAAUGUCUAUGAACAUCUGGCUUCACUCUUUUUUUAGUUAGGCUUGUCUGAAGCACAGUUCCGACAGAACUAACCCAUCCAGGCGCAGCCUAAAAAUGGAGCCAACUAAACACUGAAAGACUAUCAGAGAAAAGGCAAGUGACUGUAUGAAAUGUGUACUGAGAUUCUGUCUCAGAGAACAAAGCCCAGAGGAAUGUCUUCAAUAUUUAUCAUAGAAGGUAGACUUUAGAGCUCCAUCUUAAAUCAUUACCUAUAGUUAAUAGAUCCUUUUAUUAAACUGUGUGUGUGUUGAGGGAAGCACGAUCUAAUUCCAAGAAUAGGAAGAGAAUAAGAACAACACUCUGUCCUCUGAAAGCCAUGAGUAAUUCACAUUCAUAUGUAUAAAUAAAACAGUCCUCCACUACAAGACUAUGCAAUUUUUCAAAAAAGGGAAAAAAUGGGGGGGGGUGGCUUCAUGCAUUAUAAAGCAAAAAGAUAGAGCUGCAAGAUAAUAGGUUCGACAGGCAGUAUUGGCUACGUAAUUUGUACACCUGAUGCCAAAUGAAAAUGGAAGGCCCCUUGUUCAAAAAUGAUUUAGCGUUUCGACAGUUGGCGAUAGCAGAGCAUUAAUCCAAGGGCAGGGCUCUUCUGGGCACUGGGCCCUUGGUGGCUACCCCAUGAGGCUGACCCUGUUUGCAGGCAAGCAUUACACUCAAAAACCAGGCUUUCCUUCCACACUUGCCUACAGGGAGGACUGCACCAUCAGCAGCACUGUCUGUGACUCCAGAGAACCACCAUGUGGACGUCUGGAUUCCGUAUGCUUUUCGCUGUGAGGUUAGACAGAAAGAGGAUCCUUGCACUGAAUCUUACUGUGCUUUUGCUUCUGAAAAUGAUAGCUUGCUGAUUCAAGGCUGUGAUUUUCAGAACGCAUUCCCAUUUCUAUUUCCAGUCUCGUGUUCCUUAGACUGCCCCAAAAGAAAGCUUUGUGUGUGUGAUGAUUUUUUUUUUUUUCAAACCCAGCCCAGUAAGCUUUCAAACCCAGUCAAUCAGAAAUGAUACGUGUGCAUAUAAUAUCUAUCUCGCUUGAAUUCCAUCAGUUGAUACAGAGUGUGGGACUGACUAUUUAGAAUAUUUAAUACUGAGAACAAAAGAAUGCCAUUCCUGGAGUUCCCGUCGUGGCUCAGCAGUUAAUGAACCCGACUGGCAUCCAUGAGGACGCAGGUUCAAUCUCUGGCCUCCCUCAGUGGCUUAAGGAUCCUUUGUUGCCGUGGCUGCGGCAUAGGCCGGCAGCUGUAGCUCCAAUUAGACCCCUAGCCUGGGCACAUCCAUAUGCCACAGGCACAGCUCUAAAAAGCAAAAAAAAAAAAAAAAAA
rnacentral:lncRNA from 1 species